AGCCCUAUUACUUAUAGUAUCUGAGAUAUGGACUUGACCACCAAAACUUAACCUUGUUCACUGAUCCAUGAAAUGAGGUCGAGGUCAAGUGAAAACUGCCUGACGGGCAUGAGGACCUUGCAAGGUACGCACAUACCAAAUAUAGUUAUCCUAUUACUUAUAAUAAGAGAGAAUUCAACAUUACACAAAUUUUGAACUUUUUUUUCAAGUGGUCACUCAACCAUGAAAAU
rnacentral:lncRNA from 1 species